GGUACUGUACUUUAUGAAGAAGUUCUAGCUUGCACCUAGAGAGAAGACCUGUGUCUCAGAACCA
rnacentral:tRNA from 1 species